CACUGUGGGGCCUGUUGGCGAGCCCCGCGGCGGCCCCGGGCGGGGAGGGCUGAGCUCCGUGCGGGGCCGAGCGGCGGCCCCGGGCCCCUGCGCGCUGCCGCCUGCGUGCCCGCGCUGCCCGGGCCUGCCGGAGGCCACGCAGGCCGCUGGCGUUUCCUCGCCGCUGCCCGCUGUUGCGGAUUGUUUAAUAGGGGCCGAGCCGCUCUCUGCGCGCCUCCGGAAUAGAUAGUAGUCUAUGAAGGGGACAGCUCUUGAAGAGGUAACAGCUUUGUAUAGAGUCCUGGUCUGGGAUGAGAAGCUUUGGUAGUGCUGUGGUAUAUGGAAGGCCUAACAGUGAUACAGAACACCACUGUACCAAGCCCUCUUUAGGUACUGGAAGGCUUCAGCAAGGUGUCCGUGGGGCCUUCUCUUCUGCAGUCUGGACAACCCCAACUCUCUCAGCCUGUCUUCACAGCAGAGGUGUUGCAGCCCUCUGAUAAUUUCUGUGGCCUCCUCUGGACCCACUCCAACAGCUCCAUGUCCUUCCUGUGCUGAGGACUCCAGAGCUGGAGGCAGCCUGCAUGGGGGUGUCACCAGAGUAGAGUAGAAGGGCGGAAUCACCUCCCUCAACCUGCUUUGGAUGCACACCAGGAUAUGAUUGGCUUUCUGAGCUGCAAGGCCAUACUGUUGGCUGGACUCGUGUCCAGCUUUUAUCCACUAGUAUCCCCAAGUCAUUCUCUGUUGGACUGCUGUCAAUCCCUUCAUCCCCCAGCCUGUAUUAGUAGCAGGGGUUCCUUGUUUCAUGAUUAAGAGUUUCUGUAAGCAAAUUACAAAUACACAUAUUGUUGCAGGUAGGAAAGCCAAACACCUCUUGAUAGUAAUAGAUGAGAGUCAGAAAGGCUAGGGGCCAAGGCUGGAGGUAAAGUAAGCUGGUCUUGUUAUUUUAUGAAAGGAAAGCUUGAUUUCUGCUGAAACCUAAAGGUCAUUUUCUGUCUCCUGCCUUAUUCAGAAGGGCAGUAAGGUUUUUAGUUAGAGUUUUUGUCAUCAUGUGUUGUGUCAAUUUGACUAACAUGUAUAAAUGUUACUGCUUCAAAAUUCACAUAAGUAAUAACAUACAAGUAUUUAAACAUUUAAUAUUCCUUUAAUCUUGAUUCUGCCCUGCCAGCCAUUUAUGGACCUUCUAGGAUGUUAUGGGUUGAUGUGGAGCCUUUUCUGGUAAUGGGGAAUGAGCUGUAUUGGGCCACCCGUGGGCUUCUGUAACAAGCUGUUCAAAACUUUCCCUGGCUCUGAGUCAGACUCACCUCUGGGGCUGAGCCAGUUGAGUGCCUCCCACUUUUUAAGAAGAAGCUGGAAGACAACAGUUGUUCUGGGAAGUGGUGGAAGGAGUUGGAGGAGAGAGAAGUGACCGUGUGGAGACUUGUGCUGGAGCAGAGACAUCCCUGCAUCCUGUGGAGAGAUGGCAGCUGUUUCCCUGCAACCAGUGAAUGGUAAUGGUGAAGCUGAGAUUUAUUGGCAAUUUGUGGAGAACCCCAAGUCAGGAGUGACUGUGCCUGGAGGCAGCUGUGACUCUGUGGCAAUGCAGCGUUGGAGCAGAAGGUGCCUGGAUUUGUGCUGCCGUGGAGAUCUGUGCAGGAGGAGUUUGUGAGGAGCUGCAGCCCUUGGGAAGGAUUCACACUGGAGAGAUUUGUUAAGGACUGUAUCCCAUGGGAGGGAUGCUGUGUUGGAGCAGGGGAAGAAUGUGAGGAGUUCUCUUCCCCGAGAAGAAGGAAGAUCAUCUGUCAGGGACUGACCGCAACCCCAGUUCCCUGUCCCCCUGUGCUGCUGAGGUGGAAGGGGUAGAGAUAUCAGGAGCAGGGAGCUGAGACUGGGAAGAAGAGAGGGACAAAGGAAGUGCUGAUUGUAUUUUUCUCAUCAUCUUGCACUGUUUUUGCUGUCUGUCUGCUCUGUUUCUAGUUGGUAGUAGAAUAAUAGUUCUUAUUUUCCUCUCUAAGUUGAGUAAUCAAGUCUGUUUUUCCUGGAGCCAUAACUGGCAGUGAGCCCUUCCUGUCCUUGUCUCAAUCCACAAGGCCCUUGGUUAUCUUUUCCCUCUCCAUCUCGCUGGGGCCUCUGCCAUCCUACAGCAAGCGACUGUGUGGUGCUUUGUUCACAACUGGGCUUAAACCAUGACAUAGGAAUACACUUGCAAAUAGACUCGGGACUAUUAAACCUUGUGGUUGUAAUAAGAAGCUUUGAAUCAAGGGAGGAGAAAAGGGACAUUUUAAAGUCAUUUUUCUGAUGUUCUAUUUGUAGUGAUUUUUUUGUAUUGGCUAAGUAUUAAUUGUUCCCAAGUUGAAUUCCUCUGUUCAGUUCUCCACAACUUAACUCUUCAAAGCAUUGUUAGCAUAUGAGUUUUUUACUAGUUUAUUCCCUUUCAGGAAGCCAUUCAAAACAAUGAACUAACACUUGUGAGCACCUUUUCCAAACAAAUAAAACAAAUAAAUGCAAGAUGAUCAGGGGACUGGAGCACCUUUGUUGUGAGG